CUUACUUGGAUAACCGUGGUAAUUCUAGAGCUAAUACAUGCUAAAAACCUCGACUUCGGAAGGGGUGUAUUUAUUAGAUAAAAAACCAAUGCCCUCCGGGGCUCCCUGGUGAUUCAUAAUAACUAAACGAAUCGCAUGGCCUUGCGCCGGCGAUGGUUCAUUCAAAUUUCUGCCCUAUCAACUUUCGAUGGUAGGAUAGUGGCCUACCAUGGUGGCAACGGGUAACGGGGAAUUAGGGUUCUAUUCCGGAGAGGGAGCCUGAGAAACGGCUACCACAUCCAAGGAAGGCAGCAGGCGCGCAAAUUACCCAAUCCCGACACGGGGAGGUAGUGACAAUAAAUACUGAUGUGGAGCUCUUUAGGGUUUCACAAUUGGAAUGAGAAAAAUCUAAACCACUUAAACGAGGAACAAUUGGAGGGCAAGUCUGGUGCCAGCAGCCGCGGUAAUUCCAGCUCCAAUAGCGUAUAUNAAAGUUGUUGCAGUUAAAAAGCUCGUAGUUGAACCUUGGGCCUGGCCGGCCGGUCCGCCUCACCGCGUGCACUGGUUCGGCCGGGCCUUUCCUCCUGGGGAACCGCAUGCCCUUCACUGGGUGUGCCGGGGAAUCAGGACUUUUACUUUGAAAAAAUUAGAGUGUUCAAAGCAGGCAUUUGCUCGAAUACAUUAGCAUGGAAUAAUAGAAUAGGACGUUGUGGUUCUAUUUUGUUGGUUUCUAGGACCGCCGUAAUGAUUAAUAGGGAACG
rnacentral:rRNA from 1 species